AACGCACAUUGCGCCCCCUGGCAUUCCGGGGGGCAUGCCUGUCCGAGCGUCAUUUCUGCCCUCCAGCCCGGCUGGGUGUUGGGUGUUGUCCCCCCGGGGACACGCCCCAAAGGCAGUGGCGGCGCCGCGUCGUGUCCUCGAGCGUAUGGGGCUUUGUCACCCGCUCGGGACGGACUCGUCGGCGCUGGUCUUCCUCCAGGCGACCCUUCGGGGCCCGUCUACCCUCGGUUGACCUCGGAUCAGGUAGGGUUACCCGCUGAACUUAA
rnacentral:misc_RNA from 1 species